rnacentral:lncRNA from 1 species
UGAGACCAGGACUCCAGCCCUCAGAAUGGCUCCUUCCACAUUCAAGAGUCCAAAUUUGGUUUCAUCUCCUUUUGGAAGAGGUUCAUUCCUUGGAAAUUUUCUAGACCAUACAAACCAACUUGUGGCAGGUAGCUCCGGUUCUGACUACCUAGGUCCUGACUUGUGCAUCACAUCUUCUGACCUUUGUUUUCAUCUGAUAGUUUUUGUUGCAAGUCGACUCUGGGAUGAUCUUCUAGUGUAACUCCAGCAUGAAAUUGUGACAAACAAAAUAUUCCAUUUGCCUCUCCAAACCUAAGUGUCAAAGUACCAGAUGAUGUGGGCAGGGUUGGGUCAUCUAAUUCUACCUGGUAGUUCUAGGAGCACCUGUGUAGUUGGGCAAAAAGAGGAGAGAUAAACUUGAGUUGGAUGUAGUGGCACAGGCCUGUAAUUUCAGGAUUCAGGCAGCUAAAGCAGGAUGACCACUGUGAAUGAGGAAAAAAGUGAGGAGGGACACAGCCAUGUGGCUCACAUGGUAGGAUGCUUGCCUUGAAGAGACGAUGCUCUGGGUCCAGUCUCCGCUACACAUGAGCCAGGCAUGGUAGAAUACAUGUGUAAUCCUUGUGCUCAGGGGCUGGAGGCAGGAGGAUCAGACACUCACAGGCAUCCUUAGCUACUUAGUGAAUUUGAUUCGAGCCUGGGAUAUAUGAGACCUUGUCUUUUAAAAAGGGAGUCUGGAGACAGGUGUGGUGAUAUGCAUCUAUAAUCCUUUGGACUUCAAGGCCAGUCUCUAGUACACAAGACUGAAGCCAGUUUGGACUACCAGAACCCUGUCUCAGACAACAACAAACCCCUUUCAAGCCCAGUAAAGAAAGUCCCUAGGACUCCCAUGUUGGAAGAAGAGAACUCGUUCAAGCUUGAUUUUCCAUAGGAGUACCUCUGUACAUUUGUCUGCAAAGUAACACAAAAUAAACAAGUAAAGCUUAUUUAAAAAAUAAAAUAAAACCUCAAAGGUUUAUAUUUUAAAAA